rnacentral:rRNA from 1 species
UACGAAGGGGGCUAGCGUUGCUCGGAAUCACUGGGCGUAAAGGGUGCGUAGGCGGGUCUUUAAGUCAGGGGUGAAAUCCUGGAGCUCAACUCCAGAACUGCCUUUGAUACUGAGGAUCUUGAGUUCGGGAGAGGUGAGUGGAACUGCGAGUGUAGAGGUGAAAUUCGUAGAUAUUCGCAAGAACACCAGUGGCGAAGGCGGCUAUCUGGACGGUUUCUGACGCUAAGACGCGAAAGCGUGGGGAGCAAACAGG